rnacentral:lncRNA from 1 species
AAUAUUGCUUUGCCAUCAUUCAACCUAUCCGGACGUCGGGUCACCAUUGCUAGAUGGUUACAUCGAUUGAUUCAGAAAUCCAUUUUUGUACUACCAACUCAGAUUUGAAUCUAUAGGGUCACACUCAAAAAAAAUUUCUGACUGAUCAUAUGGUUGAUUAACGAUUGAGAAUCGUUCAAGAGCUUAAUCAUCAAUUCGAUUGAUGGUUAACCUUAUGUGAAAGUUGUAAUAAAUUUAUUCACCAAGUGUUAAUGAAUUAAUGAAAGAUUAGUAAAUAAUUAGA